rnacentral:rRNA from 1 species
UACGGAGGGGGCUAGCGUUGUUCGGAAUUACUGGGCGUAAAGCGCACGUAGGCGGCUUUGUAAGUUAGAGGUGAAAGCCCGGGGCUCAACUCCGGAAUUGCCUUUAAGACUGCAUCGCUAGAAUUGUGGAGAGGUAAGUGGAAUUCCGAGUGUAGAGGUGAAAUUCGUAGAUAUUCGCAAGAACACCAGUGGCGAAGGCGGCUCACUGGCCCGGAACUGACGCUGAGACGCGAAAGCGUGGGGAGCAAACAGG